rnacentral:rRNA from 1 species
GAUCCUGGCUCAGGAUGAACGCUAGCUACAGGCUUAACACAUGCAAGUCGAGGGGCAGCGGGAUUGAAGCUUGCUUCAAUUGCCGGCGACCGGCGCACGGGUGAGUAACGCGUAUCCAACCUUCCGUACACUCAGGGAUAGCCUUUCGAAAGAAAGAUUAAUACCUGAUGGUAUGAUGAGAUUGCAUGAUAUCAUCAUUAAAGAUUUAUCGGUGUACGAUGGUGA